rnacentral:lncRNA from 1 species
AUAUAAUACUAUCUUAUCUGCCGUUUAUAUAUUUACUAUUAUUUAAAAAUUUUAAAUUUAUUCUAAAUCUAUCAAAAUACUUUUUUAAAACUCUAUUCUAUUAAUAAAAUAAGUGCAACAAAAAAUAUUUUGAACUCCCAAUUUUUUUUUUGGAGAGAUAGACAACAUGCUAUCCAUUUCAUUUAUUUAAAAAAAUUAUAAUUCGAACUUGAAACUUCAGAUACCAACUAUCAAGCUCUCUUUGUUACUUACGCUUGAGACCGUUAAUAUAUUAAAUAUUUUUUUAUUUUUUAGAUCUGUAUUGUUCGUGCGAUGCACGAGGAGAUAGAACAGC